rnacentral:lncRNA from 1 species
CGAAUAUCGCCAGUCUUACUUGUAGAGCGUGAAGUGGCUCGAUUCUAUUCGUCAGAUGCGGAGAAGAAUCAACCCUAACCGAAAAACAGGCAAGGAAGAAAGGAGAAAUUUUGGCAUAACUACUAUUAACGGAUCUUGCCGUUGAAGCACAUGGGCUUGAUUAUUCAGGGUUGAAUCCCGAUUUGACUGGACCGGUCUAAACCCAACCGAUCCGGUUCCCAGCUUAAGGUUAGGGAAGUUAUAAAUCCACUAGAAGCGUUUGAACAACUUGGAACACUGGUUUCAGAACUUUUGAGUUAAGAAAAUGGUAACGGCCUGCCAACUUAAUGCGAGACAACAUGCAAAAGAGGUGAGAAUGCUGUCUCUCUGCAGAAAUUUAGUCAACUGUUUCGGUUGCCGACUUAAAUCGUCCCUCAAUCACGCCACCACUCCCAAACGGAUUCCUUCCUUCCUUCCUGGGGGGCAUGACAAUAACCAGUUACUUGCGAGCAAGAAAUGAACGUGUGGGGAAAAAUCAAUGGUUUCUUGAACUGGAAUUUCCAACCUUUUUGUUAAUUUGGAUUCUGGGUUGAAAGUAAUAACCGAGAAAGCCAAUUAAUUUCCCCUCAGUCAUGAGUCUAAUCUGACUAUAAGGUCUUUGCUUUGGUGCUCUGUUUUCCAACACAAACGGAAACAGAGUCAAACAUGGCUGUUGGCGGGUGGGUGGGUGGGUGAAACUGGGAAGAUAGAAUGAACGGAAACAGGUACGUACAAAUAAAUAUCCAAUCUUUCCCCACCGUCGUAUUCGUACGUUAAAGGAAGAAGAAAUCAAGGAAUAUAUCUGCUGGAGAAAAGUAGGUCAAAAGUGUUCAUAGGAGGCGCUCCCCUGCCGGCCCCCACACCCACCCCACUCGCCGUCAGUUCUUCACACAAACAAACCAGUACCAGAUUCCUCCCCUUUCCGUCAUCUUCAAUUCUUUAUAUUUUCCUCUGAUUGACGAGACUGCAUUAAAUCAAUGGGAAAAGCUCACACACAAACAAGAUAUUUAGAGAUUGAUUAGGCUCAAAACAGGGGCGAAAAUAUAUCAUAUUAAUUAAUCAAGCUGCUAGUUUUCCGGUUGGAAAGUGGUCCGGUCGCUCACUUAUCAGCUCGCCUACCAAGUACAAAAGAUUCUGUUUUAAAUCUGUAAAAAUCUGACCUACAUCUGAAGCAGCGAAGCAGCAUCAGUUCCCUUCCUUUCCACGUUAUCAGAACACAACUAGGAAUGUAGACGACGCAGACGUGUCAUUGUUGAACAGGUGGAUGAGUUCGGACGGAGCCACGUUUCCGUGACAACACGUGGCAGCACAUUGAUCUAGUGCGCCAAGCAUCUAAUUUGGCUUUACGUUCGGUUUAGUUGUGUGUAUCAACAAUUGGCAUGGACUUGGAAUAUACUUACUUAGCUAGAUGAGAAUACAACGUAACUUAAUAGUCUGUUCCUGGUUUCUGCUGUAACUUUAUCAGAUGUAGAAAGAAACCAGAUAUGAGGUGAAGUUGAGGUUUUGGAUGAGAUAAAGAUGGAGCUAGCUAGCAUCAGAGUUGGGUUAUAGCUAGCUAGCGGAAUGAGAAACGCAGGGGGGGUUGAAAAGGACAGAUGUUGAUC